rnacentral:rRNA from 1 species
AACGAACGCUGGCGGCAUGCCUAACACAUGCAAGUCGAACGAGACCUUCGGGUCUAGUUGCGCACGGGUGCGUAAGGCGUGGGAACCUUCCCUUAGGUUCGGAAUAACUCUCCGAAAGGGGUGCUAAUACCGGAUAAUUUCUUCGGACCAAUGAUUUAUCGCCUAUGGAUGGGCCCGCGUUGGAUUAGCUAGUUGGUAGGGUAAAAGCCUACCAAGGCGACGAUCCAUAGCUGGUGUGAGAGGAUGAUCAGCCACACUGGGACUGAGACACGGCCCAGACUCCUACGAGAGGCAGCAGUGGGGAAUAUUGGACAAUGGGCGAGAGCCUGAUCCAGCAAGGCCGCGUGAGUGAUGAAGGCCUUAGGGUUGUAAAGCUCUUUUACCCGGGAAGAUAAUGACAGUACCGAGAGAAUAAGCGCCGGCUAACUACGUG